GCUAAAGCCGCCAGUAGAUCGUUGGGUCUGUUAAUAUCCAAAUGUAAAGCUAAUGGUGGAUUUCAAUAUUGUACAUUUACAAAAUUAUUUGAUACACUUGUAUGGUCUGUAAUAGAUUAUGGUGCCUCUAUAUGGGGAACACGUGAUUUUUCAUGUAUAAAUAGUAUUAAAAAUAGAGCCAUGCGUUUUUUCAUGGGUGUAGGAAAAUACACGCCUAAUAUGUCUUUGUAUGGUGACAUGGGCUGGAUGCCAUGUAAAAUCAAACAGUGGACUAGUGUUUUUAGAAACUGGACACGUUUUAAUAAAAUGAAUGAUGAUAGAGUAAAUAAAAAAGUGUUUAUAUGGGGUAACACAUGUAAAAAAGUCAAAAAUUGGCAUUUUAGAGUAAAAAAUAAGUUUAAAGAACUUAAUAUGGAAUAUUUGUGCAAUGGUGCUAUUUUGAACAAGGAUUUAGUUAAGAAUAUUGAAAAUGUAUGUUUUGAAAAAUUUAAGGGAGAAUGGUAUGACAAGAUUAUGUCAGAUGAUAAAAAUAAAUUACGUACAUAUAGAAUGUUUAAAAAUGU
rnacentral:lncRNA from 1 species